UAACCUGCCCAAGAGAUCGGGAUAACACCUGGAAACAGAUGCUAAUACCGGAUAACAACAGAUGAUGCCUAUCAACUGUUUAAAAGAUGGUUCUGCUAUCACUCUUGGAUGGACCUGCGGUGCAUUAGCUAGUCGGUAGGGUAACGGCCUACCAAGGCGAUGAUGCAUAGCCGAGUUGAGAGACUGAUCGGCCACAUUGGGACUGAGACACGGCCCAAACUCCUACGGGAGGCAGCAGCC
rnacentral:rRNA from 1 species